rnacentral:rRNA from 1 species
AUGGCCAAUCUUGACCUUGGUGCAACUGCUAUCAUGGGUCCAGCCUUCCAGAUUGAUGAGCCGCUCAAGGCGUGGGGCGUUCACCACGAAGAUUUCUUCGAAGAAGGACCCGAUGAUCUGCACGCACCGGAGGCUUUGGCUGACAAGGCGGAGCCGGAGCGUGAAAAAAUUACCUUCGACACUGAGCGUCUCCAGCACGGGGCUCCUGUCGAGGAUGAAGUCCAAAUCCCUGCUCUCCACAAGGAUGUUGCAGAGCCCGAGCUCACGGAGUUUGGGGAAAGAGGCGGAGCGCGGGAGGCCGGCCGUGUCCGGGAACUUCCAGGAGCCGAGGUGGAGCCGGGUGAGGGUGGCCAUGCCGAAGAAGGUGCAGGGGAGGAUGACGUCGAACGGACAGCAGCUGUUGAGGAUGACGAGUUCCAGUAUGCCCUUGGCGGCGAGAAGCUCGAUCCAGCGCGUGAGCAGGCCAUGGAACUCCUCCCUGCAGCUCUUGAUCAGGUGGACGCAGCGGAAGGGCCCCGGGUGCGCCUCGAGCACGCGGGACAGGGCGUAGGUGGCGGGGGCGAGGUCGGCGUCGACGAGGACGAGCGGGGCGGAGCGCCAGACCCCGGGCCAGCGGUGGGAGAGCGCGGCGGUGCGCGCGGCGUCCUUGACGGGCAGGAGGGAGACGAUGUGCCGGAGGAGCGCGUCUGGGAGGCGGCUGACGCGGUCGACGGCGUCGUGGGGCGGGGGGGCGGGGCGGGUGUGGUGGGUGCGGUGCGGUUCAGCAAGCGGCGGUAG